rnacentral:ncRNA from 2 species
GACGAGCUCUCCAAACGUUAUUCGGUAUCACUGGGCUUAAAGAGUUCGUAGGCGGCUUUACAGGUGGGGUGUGAAAGCCCUCGGCUCAACCGAGGAAUUGCGCCCCAAACCGUAAGGCUUGAGGGAUAUAGGGGUAAGCGGAACAGAUGGUGGAGCGGUGAAAUGCAUUGAUAUCAUCUGGAACACCGGUGGCGAAGGCGGCUUACUGGAUAUUUUCUGACGCUGAGGAACGAAAGCUAGGGUAGCGAACGGG